GGCCACCGUGCCUGACCCAUCUUAGCCACUCCCAAGUGCACACAGUUCUAUGGCAUUAGGCACAUUCACAUUGUUGUGCAACAUCCCCACCAUCCUUCUCCAGAACCAAUUCACCUUCCCCAGCUGAACUCUACACAUUAAACAAUAACUCCCCAUUCCCUCUUCACCAGCCCCAGCACUCACUGUUCUACUGUCUGUCGCUGUGCAUUUGACAACUCUAGGGACCUCAUCAUAUAAUCAUGUUUUUAACUCUCUGUCUCUCCUACUAGAAUGGAGUCUCUACGAGGGCAGGGAUGUUGGUUGGCUGUAUCCUCGGGCUGGAAGAGCACUGGCACGCAGCAGGCACUGAAUAGAAUUUCUAAAUAUACAAACGGAUGAACCAAUGGAUGGAUGGAUGAAUGAAGACCCUGUAUAGGUCAAUGCCUCAAAUGUCUGUGCCUGGCCUGGAGUUAUGUCCCUCACCCCCACUGUAGACUAACUCCUGGUCCCACCCUACGGCUUUGGAACUGAAGCCACAGGCCUACCAUCCCUGAGAGGUAGCGGUGCUCAGCGUGG
rnacentral:lncRNA from 10 species